ensembl:snRNA
GUGCUAUAUGAAAGGAGAGGUUAGAAUUUCCCUCCACAAGAAGGGAAGAGGCCCUCAGGCCUGAUAGCAAGUGUAGGGUUAAGGCAUUACCACCUACUUUGUGGCAGCUAACCAUAGUUUUUA